ACAAGCGCGUUCUCAGGACCCGGCUGAGAGAAGCGCCGAUUGGUGUUUGGUACAGCCUCUGGGCACCGAUUGGUUAGGACUGAACGUCAAUCACUGUCUUGCUGCUCCGGACCCCGCCCUGUUAUCAGGAGGCUGUUGAGUACGUGAUACCCGGCACAACAUCAGCACCGGGUCCGAGAACAGAGAGACAGUGGUUCGAGACCCGGUGGAUCAAGACCCGGAGCUGUGAUUUGAGCACAGCAGACUUAUCCUUGGCUUGAGACCAGCAGCUGACACUCCUGAGACCAUUCUGAGCAACCUAUUGUGCUAUAGAUAGGAGGCAUGCCCCAGCCCACCCAUCUACCCACCCACCCCUCUACAGGAGCCCAGACCCUUCUGCAGCCUGCAGUGCCUGUGACAAAUGCAGGCAGGCCAGCCACACCAGAAACCACAGAAGCAGCCUCCGCCCACCAUGACCAGGGACUAUAGUCUCCCAAGUUAGCACUUUUCCCUGUUCAUCUUCAACAUCAGGUUUCCUACAAACCUAUGUAUAGUGCCAUCUGUACCAUGGUAGAACCUUCCAGAACAGGAACCGGCAAACAGUCAAAGGCUAGGAUGAUACUGUUCUCUGCUUUCAGGACUAUGGAGUUUCUCUCUGACCUACUGGAUGGUGCUGAUUGUAGCAAAAGAGCCAACAUGUAGGAGUGAACAGCUGUCUGAACAACCGAAUUGUGUGUGCCCUGGACAUCAGAGUGCCCUUAUGCCAAUUGUUUCAUCAGUCAACUCAUUUUCAUAACAGCACCACAAAUUCAAAAACAAAUAAACACAAAUAUUCAAAUAUA